UUAAUUGAAGAGUUUUAUCAUGGCUCAGAUUGAACGCUGGCGGCAGGCCUAACACAUGCAAGUCGAGCGGUAACAGGGGAAGCUUGCUUCUCGCUGACGAGCGGCGGACGGGUGAGUAAUGUAUGGGGAUCUGCCCGAUAGAGGGGGAUAACUACUGGAAACGGUAGCUAAUACCGCAUAAUCUCUAAGGAGCAAAGCAGGGGAACUUCGGUCCUUGCGCUAUCGGAUGAACCCAUAUGGGAUUAGCUAGUUGGUGAGGUAAUGGCUCACCAAGGCGACGAUCCCUAGCU
rnacentral:rRNA from 1 species